AGUGUGAGCGAUGAAAACAGCGUUGGCGCAGCACAGCUCAUUGAUCAGACGAUGAACAUCAGAUAGCAGACUGCAGCUCCAGCUCGAAAACAUCAUCACAUCCGUUCUUGUGAACUCCUCUCUCGAGUUCGAAGUAUCGGCAUUGUGGAUGGUUCAGCAGCACAGCAGGUUCAGGACAGCCCAAUAGAUGCUGCCCAGGAAAGCGGCAGUGACCCUCCUUCUAGAGCGAAUAGAGAAAGGCCACAGUCUGAAUGGUCUUGCCGAGGCCCAUCUCAUCGGCUAGAAUGGUGUCGAUGGCCUGUCGAGGCUCUUCAGGUACUUUAUCCGAUUUUGAGAUAUUUUAAUUAGUAUUGAUUCAAGUUCAUCCCACCGUAGUGUGAGCGAUGAAAACAGCGUUGGCGCAGCACAGCUCAUUGAUCAGACGAUGAAAAUCAGAUAGCAGGCUGCAGCUCGAGCUCGAAAACAUCAUCACUUCCGAUCUUGUGAACCAAGUACCAAGCGGAUGCUGCCGCAGACAGUCGUCAUUUUGGUCAUCCAUCCAGGUGG
rnacentral:lncRNA from 1 species